rnacentral:rRNA from 1 species
GCCUCCUACGGGACGCAGCAGUGGGGAAUAUUGCACAAUGGGGGAAACCCUGAUGCAGCAACGCCGCGUGAGUGAAGAAGUAUUUCGGUAUGUAAAGCUCUAUCAGCAGGGAAGAAGAUGACGGUACCUGAUUAAGAAGCCCCGGCUAACUACGUGCCAGCAGCCGCGGUAAUACGUAGGGGGCAAGCGUUAUCCGGAUUUACUGGGUGUAAAGGGAGCGCAGACGGCAGUGCAAGUCUGGAGUGAAAGCCCGGGGCCCAACCCCGGGACUGCUUUGGCAACUGCCAUGCUGGAGUGCUGGAGAG